rnacentral:rRNA from 1 species
CGUGCAGGCGGUUCCGUAAGUCGGACGUGAAAGCUCCUGGCUUAACUGGGAGAGGCCGUUCGAUACCGCGGGACUUGAGGUCGGGAGAGGGACGUGGAAUUCCCGGUGUAGUGGUGGAAUGCGUAGAGAUCGGGAGGAACACCAGUGGCGAAGGCGGCGUCCUGGCCCGUACCUGACGCUAAGACGCGAAAGCGUGGGUAGCGAACG